rnacentral:lncRNA from 1 species
AUUCUAAGUCUGACUUCCCUAAUGCUCAGAAGAUGGCUAUGUUGAGUCCACAAACUUUUGAAUUCAGAAACAAGAUUGAGUUGAUUUCAGAAGCUCUCCCAGAAGAUCAAGAAAGAACUUUCCAGGAUCUCCAGGAACCUGAAUUGAGUCAUACGCCAAAGUGAGUUUCAUGCUCUUUGGCAAAACAAUCAUUGGCAGGAUAGAUGAAAGUAGCUUAGAAGUGACCAAUAUGUCAAGGUCCCAUGAGAAGACUGAAAAAAAGAGAAGAAAGAGGAAAGAAAAGAAUGACAAGAAAGAGAAAGAAAGAAACCAAUAUGCUCUUUGUUCUUUGCUUUUGCUUCCUCAAGCUUUUCUCUGUCUACAAAGCCAACCUCUCCUGCUCAGCUCAUCAGAACAUUCACUCC